rnacentral:rRNA from 1 species
UACGAAGGGGGCUAGCGUUGCUCGGAAUCACUGGGCGUAAAGCGCACGUAGGCGGCUUUUAAGUCAGGGGUGAAAUCCUGGAACUCAACUCCAGAACUGCCUUUGAUACUGAGAGCUUGAGUCCGGGAGAGGUGAGUGGAACUGCGAGUGUAGAGGUGAAAUUCGUAGAUAUUCACAAGAACACCAGUGGCGAAGGCGGCUCACUGGCCCGGUACUGACGCUGAGGUGACGAAAGCGUGGGGAGCAAACAG